UUGCACGCUGGCGGCAUGCCUUACACAUGCCGGUCGAACGGCAGCACGGGUGCUUGCACCUGGUGGCGAGUGGCGAACGGGUGAGUAAUACAUCGGAACAUGUCCUGUAGUGGGGGAUAGCCCGGCGAAAGCCGGAUUAAUACCGCAUACGAUCUACGGAUGAAAGCGGGGGACCUUCGGGCCUCGCGCUAUAGGGUUGGCCGAUGGCUGAUUAGCUAGUUGGUGGGGUAAAGGCCUACCAAGGCGACGAUCAGUAGCUGGUCUGAGAGGACGACCAGCCACACUGGGACUGAGACACGGCCCAGACUCCUACGGGAGGCAGCAGUGGGGAAUUUUGGACAAUGGGCGAAAGCCUGAUCCAGCAAUGCCGCGUGUGUGAAGAAGGCCUUCGGGUUGUAAAGCACUUUUGUCCGGAAAGAAAUCCUUGGCCCUAAUACGGUCGGGGGAUGACGGUACCGGAAGAAUAAGCACCGGCUAACUACGUG
rnacentral:rRNA from 1 species